rnacentral:sRNA from 1 species
CGCCCUUACCCGUCGGGAGCGUUUCCGCCAUUUUUGAAAAUUGGGAAGGUCCUGGUUUUAAGUGUAGUUGCCGACGCAAUGGCAGCCUUUGCCGUGGAACCUCAGGGGCCCGCGUCAGGAUCUGAACCAAUGAUGCUGGGUUCACCCACAUCUCCAAAGCCAGGAGUUAAUGCCCAGUUCUUACCUGGAUUUUUAAUGGGGGAUUUGCCAGCUCCGGUGACUCCACAACCUCGAUCAAUUAGUGGCCCUUCAGUAGGAGUAAUGGAAAUGAGAUCACCUUUACUUGCAGGUGGGUCACCACCACAACCAGUUGUACCAGCUCAUAAAGAUAAAAGUGGCGCUCCACCAGUUAGAAGUAUAUAUGAUGACAUUUCUAGCCCAGGACUUGGAUCAACACCUUUAACUUCGAGAAGACAGGGUCCCCAACAGGGUCCUGCUCAGUUGCCCAGGCUAGAGUGCAGUGGCACAGUCAUAACUCUGCAGCCUUGAACUCCUGGGUUCAACCAGUCCUCCUGCCUCAACUGUCCUAUUGGGAUAUAG